GUGCUUCCUUUGGCAACACAAACACUAAAACUGGAAUGAUACAGAGAUUAUGAUGGCCCAUAAGCAAGGAUGACACACAAAUUCACGAAACACUCCAUAUUAUA